GGGCCUGUAGCUCAGUUGGUAGAGCGCCACGUUUACACCGUGGAUGUCGUCGGUUCGAGCCCGGCCGGGCCCA
rfam:Phycicoccus sp. Soil802 contig_6, whole genome shotgun sequence.